rnacentral:rRNA from 1 species
UAGGGAAUCUUCCGCAAUGGACGAAAGUCUGACGGAGCAACGCCGCGUGAGUGAUGAAGGCCUUCGGGUCGUAAAACUCUGUUGUUAGGGAAGAACAAGUACCGUUCGAAUAGGGCGGUACCUUGACGGUACCUAACCAGAAAGCCACGGCUAACUACGUGCCAGCAGCCGCGGUAAUACGUAGGUGGCAAGCGUUGUCCGGAAUUAUUGGGCGUAAAGCGCGCGCAGGCGGUUCCUUAAGUCUGAUGUGAAAGCACACGGCUCAACCGUGGAGGGUCAUUUGAAACUGGGGAACUUGAGUGCAGAAGAGGAAAGCUGAAUUCCACGUGUAGCGGUUAAAUGCGUAGAGAUGUGGAGGAACACCAGUGGCGAAGGCGGCUUUCUGGUCUGUAACUGACGCUGAGGCGCGAAAGCGUGGGGAGCAAACAGG